UCUGAUUUCUUAAUAGAGAAGAAGGAUAACUGCAAGGAGAUCAAACUCCCUUCAAAAGCUUAUAAAGUAACAAUGGGUGGCUGCGUUGUGGUUUGAUUUUGGUAUUAAAUGGCAGAAAAUUUGGGAUAAGAUUCAUCGAUGAAGCUCCGAUGAACAACAGGAAAUCUUAGUAAUGUUACACAUGGACUAUUAAAGAAGAUUUGCCGAUAGAGGUUGACUAUUGACUCAAGUGUUGCAGGGCCUAGGAAAUUCCUUCAAGGACAACAGAAAGAAGCUUAAGACGUGAACGUGUUAUCGUGGUGGAAGACGUGAAGAAAACGAAACGAAGACACUGAGAAAUAUAGAAAAGGGACGAUUGAGAUAAAUCUAAUGAUAGGUCAAAAUGUUUUUUUGAUGUAAAAAGGAACGAUUAUAAGAUGGGUUACAAUGAUGUCAGGUGGCAUAAUGAAGAUUAGAAUGAUGACAAGUGGAAAAAUGGACAUUAAAAAAUGGACAUGUGGCAUAAUUUGGUUUUAUUUAUUAGAAGAGGUAGAUGCAGGACAAAUUCCAAAUUUAACGAAAGAAUUUACAAAAGAUGUGGGAUAAGUUGUUGUUGAACACAAUAAAAGAAUACUUAUCGUAUGUGAGUUUGGAACCUGGGUGGGGUAGUUGAAGCUUCAAGCACCUCAACCAGCGGACUAGUCUACCAUUUUGUUUUUAAGUCACAAAUACAUAAAUAUAUACAUGUAAUUGCAAAAUAUAAACACACACACGCACAU